GACGUAGGGUGCGAGCGUUGUCCGGAUUUAUUGGGCGUAAAGAGCUCGUAGGCGGCUCGUCGCGUCGACCGUGAAAACUUGGGGCUUAACCCUAAGCUUGCGGUUGAUACGGGCGGGCUAGAGUUCGGUAGGGGAGACUGGAAUUCCCGGUGUAGUGGUGAAAUGCGUAGAUAUCGGGAGGAACACCAGUGGCGAAGGCGACUUCCUGGCCUGUUCUUGACGCUGAGGCGCGAAAGCUAGGGGAGCAAACGGG
rnacentral:rRNA from 1 species